ACAGCUGCAUUGAAAUCUUCAUGCUGUGAAAUCUAAUUCAUCCAAUACGUGAAUCCAUCACUUAUGCAGCCCCUUUCUCAAACGCUAUAAAACUUCCAAACCCAUAGAUUUGUUUCCAACAAAAAUAACAUGAAGGGGCCUUUCAGUCAAUGAUGGAAUCCCUCUGAUUCUGGUACCGGCUGAAUAUUUUUUCCAACUUCGCCUUUGUUCUUCUGGGCAGCAGCCCACAAGGGAAAGAGCUUGUUUUCACUCGCAGCCUCAUCAAUACCUAAAUCCUGGUGAACAAGUGACACCGAGAAGCUGUAAUCAAUAGCUCCCUGUGCGUUUUUUUCUUCUGGUCAAAUGGUUCAGCUCCACUGACAACCUUGACACUUAGAACAUGAUGCUAAGUCUUUAUCAGCAGCCAUCCGGGUGACGGGCAGAACAAGCCUCGGGGGGUCAUUAACGCUCAUGGCAAUCCGUGAAUAAACUAACUCCUCAGGAAU
rnacentral:lncRNA from 1 species